AAUGUCAUCUAGGUUUGAUUUUAAAAUGCAAUGCUUUUUUUAAAUCUUUCAGCUCCAGAACUUGCCAGUCAAGAUGAAAAACUUCUUCUAAUGGAAUCCAGCUUGAAAGGAACUCAAGAGCAGCUAAGUGAGCAAAUAACAGAAACAGUUCGCCAAGAACAGAACAGUAGAAAAUCACAGACAGAGCUGAAGACCCUGAGAGAACGUAUUAUAGCUUCUGAAGAAGGAAUUAGGGAUUACAAAGACAUGCUUAAAAAACUUCCAUUACAAUUAACAGCAUCAAAGACAGCUCAACAGCAAAAGCUUCAUGGAGCUCUCAACAGGCAGCAGUUAGAACCAGUAUCAGCCAUUGAACAAGUAAACAGUCUGAAACAACAGUCAUGUGUUUGCUAG
rnacentral:lncRNA from 1 species